GGGAUAAUUAUGAUAUUACCUUUCUAUAGUGUUGUCAAAAUUUUGGUGCCAGAAGACUCGGUAAGGCCAAAAACGCGAACGUUAGUCAUCUUUAUCAGGCGUAAAGGGUUUGUAGGCGGCUUUUAAAGCUAGAAUCGGGUAGAGGUUAUAAUAUGAGUAAUGCUUCAAGUAAGGGUUCAAUCUUUAGAUAUUAAGUGGAAGACUAAUUGCGAAAGCUUUUUUUCCAAUACCGAUUAAUGCCGCUGAGAAACGAAGGUGAGGUCAGGAAACAGGAUUUGAUACCCACAUUACCCUCUCUGUCAACGAUGAAUGGUCAUUAUUAGUUUCUAGUUUUUAUGUUAACACGUUAACCAUUCCGCCUUGUGAGUACGAUUG
rnacentral:rRNA from 1 species